UACGUAGGGUGCAAGCGUUGUUCGGAAUCACUGGGCGUAAAGGGCGCGUAGGCGGCCGAUCAAGUCGGGGGUGAAAGCCUGUGGCUCAACCACAGAAUUGCCUUCGAUACUGUUUGGCUUGAGACCGGAAGAGGUAAGUGGAACUGCGAGUGUAGAGGUGAAAUUCGUAGAUAUUCGCAAGAACACCAGUGGCGAAGGCGGCUUACUGGUCCGGUUCUGACGCUGAGGCGCGAAAGCGUGGGGAGCAAACAGG
rnacentral:rRNA from 1 species